CCUACGGGUGGCAGCAGUGAGGAAUAUUGGUCAAUGGCCGUGAGGCUGAACCAGCCAAGUCGCGUGAAGGAAGAAUGUUCUAUGGUUUGUAAACUUCUUUUAUCAGGGAAUAAAGGUAUCAACGUGUAGGUGUUUGCGUGUACCCGAUGAAUAAGCAUCGGCUAACUCCGUGCCAGCAGCCGCGGUAAUACGGAGGAUGCGAGCGUUAUCCGGAUUUAUUGGGUUUAAAGGGUGCGUAGGUGGUUUGUUAAGUCAGCGGUGAAAGCUUGCGGCUAAACCACAAAAUUGCCGUUGAAACUGGUAGACUUGAGUGUGUGGGAGGCAGGCGGAAUGCGUGGUGUAGCGGUGAAAUGCAUAGAUAUCACGCAGAACUCCGAUUGCGAAGGCAGCUUACUAGGCCAUAACUGACACUGAAGCACGAAAGCGUGGGGAUCAAACAGGAUUAGAUACCCUAGUAGUC
rnacentral:rRNA from 1 species